rnacentral:misc_RNA from 1 species
UUUUAAAAACAGUGAGUAUCAUCUGCUGGCUGUAAACACAUACGAACAUAUCUUAUAGUAUAUCAUCUCUGCUUUUCUGAAAAAGGUUUGUAUCAAAUAUUGUUUUUUUUUUUUGUAAUCUACUAAUAGUAGAUCUUUCGCUGCGAUUUAGUUCUUUAGCAGACAUAUUCAAUUCAAUACUUAUUCAAUUUAAAAAUGUCCCAUAAAUGGUACAAAAUGCCAAGUCUUCGCAAAAAGGAGUUGGACUUCCCUUCUUUCCACGAGCUCCCACCGGGUUUGCAAGUGGAAAAUAGAUGUACGAUAAGUAUAAUUAACAUUUAUAAUCUGAUAUUUUUUCCUGACUACUAAAUAGGAACACGUCAAGAAAUGUGUCAAUAGAUCGGACAUUUGGGAAGUCACACCGGACGAAAGUCCAAAGACUGAUCAGAAAAAGAGCGUACCGUGUGAAGCAGACUGGGAUGUUGAUGAAGACGUCCCUACUUACACUCCAAAUUUAAUGGAAAAAGAAAACUUUGUGGUUCGAUCCCAUUACGGACUCUCCCGCGAUGAUGGGAGAAAAUUCAGGGAAGAGGAGCGCAAGCGUUUCGCACUUUGGCAAGAAAAGCAAAAGGAGAAGGCUAAAGAUGACAAGGACGAAGCUUAGAAUGCCACUGAAACCUUUGUUAAUAAUUGAAUAAACCGUUGAUGACUGUGACUGCUUAA